AACAAUUCUCCAUAAAUGUCUUGUAGUGAUUUGGAAGAUGGAACUGGAACAAGAAAAACACAAAACCACAGAAUGGAUCAUGACUAUAGACCACAGGAUUCAACAUGGGAAUGACCAUGGUAUAGAAGACUGAAGCCAUUUUGUCUGUGUCCAUGGAAUGUUUGGAGCUGGGUUAAAUCUAUAGAUUUCUACUCAUAAAGUCAUAGAACACUGAGAUUACGGCAUCUGACAAAGUGUUUAAAAAAUGAUGGCAUCUAGAGAGAGGAAAUUUCCCCUAAGAACUACUU